rnacentral:rRNA from 1 species
CUACGGGAGGCAGCAGUGGGGAAUAUUGCGCAAUGGGCGAAAGCCUGACGCAGCGACGCCGCGUGAGGGAUGAAGGUCUUCGGAUCGUAAACCUCUGUCAGCAGGGAAGAACGGUCACUGUGCUAAUCAGCAGUGAAUUGACGGUACCUGCAAAGGAAGCACCGGCUAACUCCGUGCCAGCAGCCGCGGUAAUACGGAGGGAGCGAGCGUUAAUCGGAAUUACUGGGCGUAAAGCGCUCGUAGGCGGUAUGUCAAUUCAAGGGUGAAAUCCCCGCGCUCAACGAGGGAACUGCCUUUGAAACUGG